UCCGGUUUGUCACCGGCAGUCUCCUUAGAGUUCCCACCAUAACGUGCUGGCAACUAAGGACAAGGGUUGCGCUCGUUGCGGGACUUAACCCAACAUCUCACGACACGAGCUGACGACAGCCAUGCAGCACCUGUGCUGGCGCUCCGAAGAGGGGCGGUGGUUUCUCACCGCUUUCCCGUGCAUGUCAAGCCUAGGUAAGGUUCUUCGCGUUGCGUCGAAUUAAACCACAUGCUCCACCGCUUGUGCGGGCCCCCGUCAAUUCCUUUGAGUUUCAACCUUGCGGUCGUACUCCCCAGGCGGGGUACUUCCUGCGUUAGCGCCGGCACCCAGAGGGUCGCUCCCCCAGGCACCUAGUACCCAUCGUUUACGGCGUGGACUAC
rnacentral:misc_RNA from 1 species